GGGAAGAUAAAACAUUUCUAGAGUUGAACCGUUGUUUUGAUUUUGUAAUAGAAUUAGCAGAAACCAUACCUACCUCUUUUUUCUUCUUCUUAGAGAACAUGACAGUCUCGAACGACAUCGAGGUUUUGGCAAUCUUCCCUGUCCGAAUACCUUCUUCCAAUGAUUCUCCUAUUUUUACCAAAUCCGCAAAGGUUGCUCUGACAGCGACACCAUCCUAGUAUAAUAUUCUCCUUCUUGAGCGCGAG
rnacentral:lncRNA from 1 species